GCGCCGGUGGUGUAAGGCGAACAUCGCUGCCCGUAAAGCAGAAGGUGCGGGUUCGAGUCCCGCCUGGCGCA
rnacentral:tRNA from 1 species